rnacentral:rRNA from 1 species
AUUGAACGCUGGCGGCAGGCCUAACACAUGCAAGUCGAGCGGAUGAAGGGAGCUUGCUCCUGGAUUCAGCGGCGGACGGGUGAGUGAUGCCUAGGAAUCUGCCUGGUAGUGGGGGAUAACGUCCGGAAACGGGCGCUAAUACCGCAUACGUCCUGAGGGAGAAAGUGGGGGAUCUUCGGACCUCACGCUAUCAGAUGAGCCUAGGUCGGAUUAGCUAGUUGGUGGGGUAAAGGCCUACCAAGGCGACGAUCCGUAACUGGUCUGAGAGGAUGAUCCGUCACACUGGAACUGAGACACGGUCCAGACUCCUACGGGAGGCAGCAGUGGGGAAUAUUGGGCAAUGGGCGAAAGCCUGAUCCAGCCAUGCCGCGUGUGUGAAGAAGGUCUUCGGAUUGUAAAGCACUUUAAGUUGGGAGGAAGGGCAGUAAGUUAAUACCUUGCUGUUUUGACGUUACCAACAGAAUAAGCACCGGCUAACUUCGUG